rnacentral:rRNA from 1 species
GAUUAUGGCUCAGGAUGAACGCUAGCUACAGGCUUAACACAUGCAAGUCGAGGGGAAACGAUAUAGAAAGCUUGCUUUCUUAGGCGUCGACCGGCGAAUGGGUGAGUAACGCGUAUCCAACCUGCCCCUGAGUAAGGGAUAGCCCAUCGAAAGAUGGAUUAAUACCUUAUGGUCUCCUUUGCAGACAUCUAAUUAGGAGUAAAGAUUUAUCGCUGAGGGAUGGGGAUGCGUCUGAUUAGCUUGUUGGCGGGUAACGGCCCACCAAGGCGACGAUCAGUAGGGGUUCUGAGAGGAAGGUCCCCCACAUUGGUACUGAGACACGGACCAAACUCCUACGGGAGGCAGCAGUGAGGAAUAUUGGUCAAUGGGCGCAAGCCUGAACCAGCCAAGUAGCGUGCAAGGAUGACUGCCCUAUGGGUUGUAAACUGCUUUUAUACGGGGAUAAAGUCAGAGUCGUGACUCUGUUUGCAGGUACCGUAUGAAUAAGGACCGGCUAAUUCCGUGCCAGCCGCAGC